rnacentral:tRNA from 1 species
UGGGACAUAGCCAAGCGGUAAGGCAGUAGACUUUGACUCUACCAUGCACUGGUUCGAAUCCAGUUGUCCCAG